rnacentral:rRNA from 1 species
UACGGAGGGUGCAAGCGUUAUCCGGAUUCACUGGGUUUAAAGGGUGCGUAGGUGGGUUGGUAAGUCAGUGGUGAAAUCCCCGAGCUUAACUUGGGAACUGCCAUUGAUACUAUCAAUCUUGAAUACCGUGGAGGUCGGCGGAGUAUGUCAUGUAGCGGUGAAAUGCUUAGAUAUGACAUAGAACACCAAUUGCGAAGGCAGCUGACUACGCGAGUAUUGACACUGAGGCACGAAAGCGUGGGGAUCAAACAGG